UACAGAGGGUGCGAGCGUUGUCCGGAAUCAGUGGGCGUAAAGGGCGCGUAGGUGGUGGCUUAAGCGUGCGGUGAAAGCUCGGGGCUCAACCCCGAGUCGGCCGUGCGAACUGGGCUCACUGGAGCAUAGUAGAGGCAGGUGGAAUUCCGGGUGUAGCGGUGGAAUGCGUAGAGAUCCGGAAGAACACCGGUGGCGAAGGCGGUCUGCUGGGCAGUAGCUGGACA
rnacentral:rRNA from 1 species